GCUACAUGUACACAUGUGGCACUUCGCCAAGACUCCGCCACCGGGCGCCCAUGGAUAAAGCUACUUCUUCUGUAGUCUGUCCAUCCUGGUGAUCAAGGUCAGUUGACCUGACCAGUGAAGUCAUGACGCCCUGUAUGCUGCUUAUACUCACAGGCUGUUUUGGUUGGUUUGAUGAAGUCACAUACGCGGCAGCCAUUCCCACUGAGGAGGGUUCUCAACAGCAGCCAAGGGACCAGUUAAUACUGUCGCUGGAUGUUUAUGAAGAAGAGAUGAUGACUCACGAAGAGCGGUACCCGGGAGAUGUUUAUGUGGGCUCCUCCAUACAGGAGACCAUAAAACACGUAGACAAUACAAUCAGAAACACACAGAAAGAGCACCGCCAUAAGGAAAGGUAGUUAUAUUGAUCUCACAUCACUUUUUGUUUGUCUAAAUCUUGAAGAAACUUCAUG